GGGGCGAGAGGGCCAGAUGUUGAUGCAGUUGUGCUUUCCUGACGGUGACAUUCUAGACAAGAAAUGAUGCCCAGAAGCUGCCUGAAGCAUGCUGGGAAAUCCUUGUGAGACUCUGAACACAGAUAGCUGUCCAGUCUUCCCAGCACCACUUAUUGAAGAGACUGUCUUUUCUCCAUCAUAUUUAUUUGCCUCUCCUGUCAAAGAUCAAUUGGCCUGCUGUCUCUAGGAGCUGGCGCCUACCCACAGUCUCCCUCAACAUUGUGUAGAACGUCUCAAGUCUGAAGACAAUUUCACAACUUGUCAACAUCAGCCCUGAGGAUGCCAGCAUUUGAUGUCUUUCCCUGAUUUUCUUUCAAAGGGAAAAACUAUUUUGAGGAUGAGGGUUGUAAGAAACCAGUGUUAUUCCCAGGUACAUUAUAUACCAGGUACUUUACAAGAAUUAAACCAGUCAAUUCUUCAGA